rnacentral:rRNA from 1 species
CUUGACCUCAAAUCGGGUGAGACUACCCGCUGAACUUAAGCA